rnacentral:rRNA from 1 species
GAGCGGGCGAGGUUGCUUCGGUAACUGAGCUAGCGGCGGACGGGUGAGUAAUGCUUAGGAAUCUGCCUAUUAGUGGGGGACAACAUUCCGAAAGGAAUGCUAAUACCGCAUACGCCCUACGGGGGAAAGCAGGGGAUCUUCGGACCUUUCGCUAAUAGAUGAGCCUAAGUCAGAUUAGCUAGUUGGUGGGGUAAAGGCCUACCAAGGCGACGAUCUGUAGCGGGUCUGAGAGGAUGAUCCGCCACACUGGGACUGAGACACGGCCCAGACUCCUACGGGAGGCAGCAGUGGGGAAUAUUGGACAAUGGGCGCAAGCCUGAUCCAGCCAUGCCGCGUGUGUGAAGAAGGCCUUUUGGUCGUGAAGCACUUUAAGCGAGGAGGAGGCUACUUGGAUUAAUACUCUAGGAUAGUGGACGUUACUCGCAGAGUAAGCACGGGCUAACUCUGUG